AAUGGACGUGAUGAGCAGGUGUUACCGCCCCAGUCUGAUGUUUGGUGACUGAUUGGUAUCUUCUGAUCUAGU
ensembl:snoRNA SNORD31 Small nucleolar RNA SNORD31